UAUUUUCAUAUUUCUGUCUUUCUCUUUUCUAUUCUUUUUCAGGUGUAACAGAUACCGAACAGAUUGAGAACAUCCGUAGGACUCCUCAGGCCCAGGUGUAUUUUGCAGAUGAAUUCAAAAGCGUCUCCUGCAGAGUGACCAGGGAACUUCUGGUUCUUGACCUGGACGAUAGCCAGUAUGAGUUGAUCAGUGUGGUAGGCUACCAGGUGGGGACAGAGUUCUGCCGUAAAACCAAAGGUCCCUUCUGCAACCAACCUCUUAAGCCAUCUACUUUUUAUAGGGUGAACUACUUUUUUUUGGAUGACAAGUCUGUCAUAAGAGCACAUACAGAUUGGUCAACAGCCAUACAGACC
rnacentral:lncRNA from 1 species